AAGUCGUAACAAGGUUUCCGUAGGUGAACCUGCGGAAGGAUCAUUAGUAGAGACAGUGGGGCAAAAGCCCCCGAUGCUCAACCCCCUGCGUACUGUACCUGGACCAUACCGACAGGUUUAAAUUCUGGCGCGCGUCUGAAAAAACGGCGCAUUUGAAAAGCGAAAAAACUUUCAACAACGGAUCUCUUGGUUCCGGCAUCGAUGAAGAACGCAGCAAAAUGCGAUAAGUAGUGUGAAUUGCAGAAUUCAGUGAACCAUCGAGUCUUUGAACGCACAUUGCGCCCCCCGGUAGCCCGGGGGCAUGCCUGGCCGAGCGUCAUGCAGAUACCCUCAAGCCCUCGCUUGGUGUUGGGUCGGCCGUCCGCGCAUAUAGCGGAUGUCCCCAAAAUCUGCCUGGCGGUGGCGUCGGACGUCCAGGUGCGCAAAUCCGACGAUAUGCCCUGGAGCGUCCGGUUGCCAUCUACCCCAGCGAAACCCUUUGCGCCCGAGCGCGCCAACGGUUUGACCUCGGUUCAAGCAGGAAUACCCGCUGAACUUAA
rnacentral:rRNA from 1 species